rnacentral:rRNA from 1 species
GAUGAACGCUGGCGGCGUGCUUAACACAUGCAAGUCGAACGAUGAAGCCCAGCUUGCUGGGUGGAUUAGUGGCGAACGGGUGAGUAACACGUGAGUAACCUGCCCUUAACUCUGGGAUAAGCCUGGGAAACUGGGUCUAAUACCGGAUAGGAGCGUCCACCGCAUGGUGGGUGUUGGAAAGAUUUAUCGGUUUUGGAUGGACUCGCGGCCUAUCAGCUUGUUGGUGAGGUAAUGGCUCACCAAGGGGACGACGGGUAGCCGGCCUGAGAGGGUGACCGGCCACACUGGGACUGAGACACGGCCCAGACUCCUACGGGAGGCAGCAGUGGGGAAUAUUGCACAAUGGGCGCAAGCCUGAUGCAGCGACGCCGCGUGAGGGAUGACGGCCUUCGGGUUGUAAACCUCUUUCAGUAGGGAAGAAGCGAAAGUGACGGUACCUGCAGAAGAAGCACCGGCUAACUACGUG